CAGCAGCCACGGUAAUACGUAGGGUGCAAGCGUUAAUCGGAAUUACUGGGCGUAAAGCGUGCGCAGGCGGUUAUAUAAGACAGAUGUGAAAUCCCCGGGCUCAACCUGGGAACUGCAUUUGUGACUGUAUAGCUAGAGUACGGCAGAGGGGGAUGGAAUCCCGCGUGUAGCAGUGAAAUGCGUAGAUAUGCGGAGGAACACCGAUGGCGAAGGCAAUCCCCUGGGCCUGUACUGACGCUCAUGCACGAAAGCGUGGGGAGCAAACAGGAUUAGAUACCCCCGUAGUCCCUGUCUCUUAUAC
rnacentral:rRNA from 1 species